rnacentral:rRNA from 1 species
GGUUAAGCGACUAAGCGUACACGGUGGAUGCCCUGGCAGUCAGAGGCGAUGAAGGACGUGCUAAUCUGCGAAAAGCGACGGCGAGGUGAUAUGAACCUUUGACCCGUCGAUGUCCGAAUGGGGAAACCCAGUGCAAUCCGUUGCACUAUCGUUAACUGAAUACAUAGGUUAACGAGGCGAACCGGGGGAACUGAAACAUCUAAGUACCCCGAGGAAAAGAAAUCAACCGAGAUUCCCCCAGUAGCGGCGAGCGAACGGGGAGCAGCCCGGAGUCUGAAUCAGCUUGUGUGUUAGUGGAAGCGUCUGGAAAGUCGCACGGUACAGGGUGACAGUCCCGUACACGAAAAUGCACAGGUUGUGAACUCGAAGAGUAGGGCGGGACACGUGGUAUCCUGUCUGAAUAUGGGGGGACCAUCCUCCAAGGCUAAAUACUCCUGACUGACCGAUAGUGAACCAGUACCGUGAGGGAAAGGCGAAAAGAACCCCGGCGAGGGGAGUGAAAAAGAACCUGAAACCGUGUACGUACAAGCAGUGGGAGCACCUUCGGGUGUGACUGCGUACCUUUUGUAUAAUGGGUCAGCGACUUAUAUUCUGUAGCAAGGUUAACCGUAUAGGGGAGCCGCAGGGAAACCGAGUCUUAACUGGGCGUUAAGUUGCAGGGUAUAGACCCGAAACCCGGUGAUCUAGCCAUGGGCAGGUUGAAGGUUGGGUAACACUAACUGGAGGACCGAACCGACUAAUGUUGAAAAAUUAGCGGAUGACCUGUGGCUGGGGGUGAAAGGCCAAUCAAACCGGGAGAUAGCUGGUUCUCCCCGAAAGCUAUUUAGGUAGCGCCUCGUGAACUCAUCUUCGGGGGUAGAGCACUGUUUCGGCUAGGGGGCCAUCCCGGCUUACCAACCCGAUGCAAACUACGAAUACCGAAGAAUGUUAUCACGGGAGACACACGGCGGGUGCUAACGUCCGUCGUGAAGAGGGAAACAACCCAGACCGCCAGCUAAGGUCCCAAAGUCAUGGUUAAGUGGGAAACGAUGUGGGAAGGCACAGACAGCCAGGAUGUUGGCUUAGAAGCAGCCAUCAUUUAAAGAAAGCGUAAUAGCUCACUGGUCGAGUCGGCCUGCGCGGAAGAUGUAACGGGGCUAAACCAUGCACCGAAGCUGCGGCAGCGACACUAUGUGUUGUUGGGUAGGGGAGCGUUCUGUAAGCCGUUGAAGGUGUGCUGUGAGGCAUGCUGGAGGUAUCAGAAGUGCGAAUGCUGACAUAAGUAACGAUAAAGCGGGUGAAAAGCCCGCUCGCCGGAAGACCAAGGGUUCCUGUCCAACGUUAAUCGGGGCAGGGUGAGUCGACCCCUAAGGCGAGGCCGAAAGGCGUAGUCGAUGGGAAACAGGUUAAUAUUCCUGUACUUGGUGUUACUGCGAAGGGGGGACGGAGAAGGCUAUGUCAGCCGGGCGACGGUUGUCCCGGUUUAAGCGUGUAGGUGUGUGUUCCAGGCAAAUCCGGUUCACUUUAACACUGAGGCGUGAUGACGAGGCACUACGGUGCUGAAGUGAUAAAUGCCCUGCUUCCAGGAAAAGCCUCUAAGCAUCAGGUAACACGAAAUCGUACCCCAAACCGACACAGGUGGUCAGGUAGAGAAUACCAAGGCGCUUGAGAGAACUCGGGUGAAGGAACUAGGCAAAAUGGUGCCGUAACUUCGGGAGAAGGCACGCUGAUAUGUAGGUGAAGUCCCUGCGGACGGAGCUGAAAUCAGUCGAAGAUACCAGCUGGCUGCAACUGUUUAUUAAAAACACAGCACUGUGCAAACACGAAAGUGGACGUAUACGGUGUGACGCCUGCCCGGUGCCGGAAGGUUAAUUGAUGGGGUUAGCGGCAACGCGAAGCUCUUGAUCGAAGCCCCGGUAAACGGCGGCCGUAACUAUAACGGUCCUAAGGUAGCGAAAUUCCUUGUCGGGUAAGUUCCGACCUGCACGAAUGGCGUAAUGAUGGCCAGGCUGUCUCCACCCGAGACUCAGUGAAAUUGAACUCGCUGUGAAGAUGCAGUGUACCCGCGGCAAGACGGAAAGACCCCGUGAACCUUUACUAUAGCUUGACACUGAACACUGGUCCUUGAUGUGUAGGAUAGGUGGGAGGCUUUGAAGCGUGGACGCCAGUCUGCGUGGAGCCGUCCUUGAAAUACCACCCUUUAAUGGCUGGUGUUCUAACGUGGACCCGUAAUCCGGGUUGCGGACAGUGUCUGGUGGGUAGUUUGACUGGGGCGGUCUCCUCCCAAAGAGUAACGGAGGAGCACGAAGGUUAGCUAAUCCUGGUCGGACAUCAGGAGGUUAGUGCAAUGGCAUAAGCUAGCUUGACUGCGAGAGUGACGGCUCGAGCAGGUGCGAAAGCAGGUCAUAGUGAUCCGGUGGUUCUGAAUGGAAGGGCCAUCGCUCAACGGAUAAAAGGUACUCCGGGGAUAACAGGCUGAUACCGCCCAAGAGUUCAUAUCGACGGCGGUGUUUGGCACCUCGAUGUCGGCUCAUCACAUCCUGGGGCUGAAGUAGGUCCCAAGGGUAUGGCUGUUCGCCAUUUAAAGUGGUACGCGAGCUGGGUUUAGAACGUCGUGAGACAGUUCGGUCCCUAUCUGCCGUGGGCGCUGGAGAAUUGAGGGGGGCUGCUCCUAGUACGAGAGGACCGGAGUGGACGCAUCACUGGUGUUCGGGUUGUCAUGCCAAUGGCACUGCCCGGUAGCUAAAUGCGGAAGAGAUAAGUGCUGAAAGCAUCUAAGCACGAAACUUGCCCCGAGAUGAGUUCUCCCUGAGACUUUAAGUCUCCUGAAGGAACGUUGAAGACGACGACGUUGAUAGGCCGGGUGUGUAAGCGCAGCGAUGCGUUGAGCUAACCGGUACUAAUGAACCGUGAGGCUUAACCUU